GCCUCCGUGGCGUAAUAGGUUAGCGCGUUCGGCUGUUAACCGAAAGGAUGUGGUUCGAGUUCACCCGGGGGCG
rnacentral:tRNA from 1 species